rnacentral:sRNA from 1 species
UUAUAGCCCAGACAGAAGCGGCAUCCUUUUUCUUGCUUCUUUAGCAAGGAAAAGAUACAGUGGAUGGCUGGAAAUAGC